UACGUAGGGUGCAAGCGUUGUCCGGAAUCAUUGGGCGUAAAGCGCGUGUAGGCGGCUUGGCAAGUCAGUUGUGAAAGCCCGGGGCCCAACCCCGGAAUUGCAUCUGAAACUGCCUGGCUAGAGUCCCGGAGAGGAAGGCAGAAUUCCCGGUGUAGGGGUGAAAUCCGUAGAUAUCGGGAGGAAUACCAGCGGCGAAGGCGGCCUUCUGGACGGUGACUGACGCUGAGACGCGAAAGCGUGGGGAGCAAACAGG
rnacentral:rRNA from 1 species